GGAAUCAGGUGCGAAUCCUGAACAGUCCUGCUGCCGUGAGGAUCGAGUCUGAUGCAUGGGGGAAAGCCCGGUCACUGGAGCGCAAGGCUCCGGGAAGGCGCAUGGAGACGCCGGAGAUCCGAGUCGGAAAAC
rnacentral:ncRNA from 2 species